rnacentral:rRNA from 1 species
AUGCUUCAUGCUAGUGCGACUUCCUCAUGUCAUGACUUACCAAUUUAUGAUGAAUAUGACGAUGAGCAUGUUGAGUUGCCUAGUUGUGAUGCUAUGCUCCAUAGGAUAUCAUGUGAAAAUUCUAUUGGUCACUUCAUGUUUCACAAUCCAUUGAACUUGUCAUAUGCUAUGAGUGAGAUCUCCCAUAUUGCUUCAUUUCAAUCCCAACAUAGUAACUAUGCAUGCCCCAUUAAAAUAAAUCCCAUUUGCACUUAUGGCAUAGAUGAUGAGAUGAUGGUCAUUGGCUUUUGUUUUUCAUGUGAUGAUAUUGCCAUGCUUCCGUUACAUGAUUUGUACAAUUCAUCUACUAUGCCAUGCCAUGAUCAUAUUGUUCCAAAUAUGCAUUGUUUUGGAUGUUGUCAAUAUUCUCCAUGUGAUGUUUCCACUAAUGCUCAUGAGGAGACCCCCAUAGUUUCCUCAUACAUAUUAGGAGAUCUUGAUGCAUUCCAUACUUUGCAUGAUCCCCAUAAUUUCUUGCACCAUAUGCAUACCAUUCAUAACAAUGCUCUAGAUAUCACUAGUGAUGCAUUACACAAUUUGAGUCUCCAUUAUGCUAUACAUAAUAACAAACCUCUCAUGAUGGAUGACAUGUUCCUUUAUCACGCAUCUCCUUUGUUUGAGCAUUGGAUAUUUUAUGCUAACCAACACAUGCACAUGCGCAUCAUGAUGGAUGAUGUGUACAUAUACCACGCACACACAAUUUUCCCUUUGUCUUGUUUUGUGUAG